rnacentral:rRNA from 1 species
AAUCAACGCUGGCGGCGUGCCUCAGACAUGCAAGUCGAACGAUUAAGACUCUCUUCGGAGAGUGCAUAAAGUGGCGCACGGGUGAGUAACACGUAAGUAAUCUACCUUUGGGUGGGGAAUAACAGUCGGAAACGACUGCCAAUACCGCAUAAUGCAGCGGCUCCUUAUGGAGACAGUUGUUAAAGAUUUAUCGCCUAAAGAGGAGCUUGCGGCAGAUUAGCAGUUGGUAAGGUAACGGCUUACCAAGGCGACGAUCUGUAUCCGACCUGAGAGGGUGGUCGGACACACUGACACUGAAUAACGGGUCAGACUCCUACGGGAGGCAGCAGUCGGGAAUUUUGGGCAAUGGGCGAAAGCCUGACCCAGCAACGCCGCGUGAAGGAUGAAGUCUUUCGGGA